UAACAAGGAUUCCCCUAGUAACUGCGAGUGAAGCGGGAAGAGCUCAAAUUUAAAAUCUGGCGGUCUUUGGCCGUCCGAGUUGUAGUCUGGAGAAGUGCUUUCCGCGCUGGACCGUGUAUAAGUCUCUUGGAACAGAGCGUCAUAGAGGGUGAGAAUCCCGUCUCUGACACGGACUACCAGUGCUUUGUGAUGCGCUCUCAAAGAGUCGAGUUGUUUGGGAAUGCAGCUCAAAAUGGGUGGUAAAUUCCAUCUAAAGCUAAAUAUUGGCGAGAGACCGAUAGCGAACAAGUACCGUGAGGGAAAGAUGAAAAGCACUUUGGAAAGAGAGUUAAACAGUACGUGAAAUUGCUGAAAGGGAAACGCUUGAAGUCAGUCGCGUUGUUCGGAACUCAGCCUUGCUUUCGCUUGGUGCACUUUCUGAACGACGGGCCAGCAUCGAUUUCGACCGUCGGAAAAGGGUUGGGGGAAUGUGGCACCUUCGGGUGUGUUAUAGCCCCUGGUCGCAUGCGGCGGUUGGGAUCGAGGAACGCAGCGCGCCGCAAGGCAGGGACUUUGUCCACUUUCGCGCUUAGGAUG
rnacentral:rRNA from 1 species